UAGGGGUAGACAGGUAUAAUAUAUACAGGUAGGGGUAGACAGGUAUAUUAUAAUAAACAGGUAGAGGUAGACAGGUAUAAUAUACAGGUAGGAGUAGACUGGUAUAAUAUACAGGUAGGAGUAGACAUGUAUAAUAUACAGGUAAGUAGACAGGUAGGGUAGACGGGUAUAAUAUACAGGUAGGGUAGACGGGUAUAAUAUACAGGUAGGGUAGACAGG